rnacentral:lncRNA from 1 species
UGAAAGUCAUGGGUUUUAUGAAUUGUUUUUGGAUGCAUGCCUACUUUAAAGUGUUAAUAGCUUGCAUAUGUAUUCAAAUGUUCAUACUUGUUCUUAGCUAGGACAAAAUUUUUCCUUCACCCUUAACUAACGCAAACAUUAGUGCUUGUUUCUUUGUUACAUGAACAAGGAACUUAAGAAGAAAGCACAAGGGCAUGGACACUUUAUGUGCCAUGAUUCUUCACUUACAAAUUGUUGUAUGAAGAAAUGAGAGUUGCCUUGAACAACUCUUGAAAAUUUGUAAUUAUGUUUAGAACAUAAUGGUUGGUUGACAAAAAUAGUCCAUCGACAUGGACUUAUGAUGAUUUUGAAUCAUUGAGUGUUGAAGUGUUAACCACUUCUAGAAACGGAAACUAGGCAAGGACUUCACCUUUGUGUCCCUAUCCAAAUGGUUCACUAAGUUUAUUGUAAGCUAUCUAGUGAACAAUAACCACACACUCUCCAAAUCAUUUGAUGUGUAUAACACAAUUGAAAUAAGUUUCAAGAGAGAUAGUGGGAGUUUAGGGACCAUGACUAUUGUAGUCAAAGGAGAAGUCAAAUGAAGAAAGCGAAAUAAACUCCAAGGGAACAAACUUUCUUUAUGAAAGGAUGGACAUUGGAAGGGGUAUUUGCAAGAAAUGUCUUGCAAGUGUCAAGAACACACCUUUCGAAGGUGUUGUAAAUUGUUCUUGAAUAGUUCAAAACAGUUGAUUCUUCUACUUGAAUGCUUGAUUCCGUAUUAGUAACUAUGUUUUACAAUCGUUGUAAAAGUGUGACUAAUAAGAAGUAGAAGAUAUAUGAGAGAAGAAAAGGUGCUUCACAUUCGGAACGUGAAUAAAAUAAAGAUCUCUGCGAAAGCAGAUAGUACUUACUUCCUCAUACGAACUACCAAAGAAAUUGGAAAAACCAAAGAUUGUCUUUACAUUCCAAUUUUAAGGAACUUAAUUCCGUCACUAUAGUAGAGAUGGAUGAAUGUUUUGUUUGACAAAACAUUGUUCUUUAUUAGUCAAUGAUUGGAUUAUAGUAAUCUAAUUGAUUGUCUCUAUAGUAGAGAUGAUAUGGUAGUGUUAACUGUUUAGAAUAUAAUGAUGCUUAAAACCCAAAAGGUUGCAAGAUAGUGACUAAUCCCAACUGAGUUGUGAUACCUCUAAAACAUAAAUUAUGAAUUGGUCAUAGAUGGAUGCUUUGGAUCGUUAGAUCCGGAUCCAAUACCUUCUUGUUAAUAUUGUAUAGAGGCGAAAUGUUCGAAUCUUUAUUCUUUUGGAAAGAAGAAAGAAUCACAAAGUUGUUGAGGUUAAUUCACUUAGAUGUUAGUGGCACUUGUCCACAAUAAUACUACUCAUGUUGUAUGACAUUCACCGAAGAUCACUCUCGGUUGGACUAUAGUUUAUUUUGAAUAAACACAAGUUCGAAUACUUUGCAAAAGGUUUCAAAGAAUUCAAUAAAUGUAAGUUGAUGAGUAAGACGUCUAAAGUAUUUACCUCCUUAGAUUUGAUCCAAGAUAAGGUAACACUUUAGAACAGUUUCCUUGAAAGAUAUCAAGGAAAGAAGCAUCAAAAGAUAAUGGAUUUCUCCAUUAGGAGAAGAACGAACUUGAAUAAGAUUUAGUUCGUUGGAUGUUAUCAAUUACCCAUAUAUAGGAUAUAUGCUUCUAAGACAAUAUGAUUGUCAAUUAGAAGAUCUUCCAAAAUUUUCAUAACUCCAUAAGAUGUAGUUGGAAAGAAAGACAAAUCUCAAGCAUGUUAAGAUUUGGGGUUGUGUGCUAAUAAGCAAUAUUUGUUUGAUAACAAUCUUGUGGGAUAUCCUUAAAUUAACUUUUGGAUAUCGCUUCCAUAAACCAACUAACAAAUGUUGUUUUGUUGGGUAGUUCAUUGUAGUCUUACAAUAUGAUUUGCCUAAGAGCAAAUGAAUGAAAGAUAGAACUCAAAGAAUGGGUUCUUUGAGAGACAAGAUAAUAAUCAACAAAUAUAACAACCUAGUUCCUAUACC